CAUCCACGUCGGGUGGCUGCUACCGACCUUGACCUGCCCCAGCUCCUCGGGAGUCGGGAAGGCAACUCCGCCUCUUCAUCCUUCGCCGCCGCCGCCGCCUUCACGUGCUCCCUCUCCUCUGCGAGUCGGCGGCGCCGAUCUCCAUUUGUCGAGGCGAGCAGAGCAGGGGAGCCGGGAGGGGAGGGCAUCCUGGUGAGAUCUGGAAGAAGCUCUCCUCUUAAUUAACCUGUGUAAAAGUUUGUUUGUUCCCCCAAAAAGUUUGCUUCCUGGGAUUACUACGAGGAGGAGGAGAGGGGAUAGAUAGUCUGUCAGAUGAUGAUGAUGCCGCUGCGUUGCCUCUCCGAGCUGGCCCGCCGCCGGCCUGAUCGCGCGGUUGAUGCAAUGAGAGUGGGGCUCCGAUGUUUGAUGAGCACUUGCCCGUUAUCCAAAGCUACUGAUGAUAGUCAAAGGUUAUAUGCAACUUCUUCUUGUGCUAAUGUGCCAGAGGUAGCACUGAGUGAGGCGCCACUGUCAGACAUGCUUGUCGAUUCGUUCGGGAGAUUCCACAACUACCUGAGGAUCUCCUUGACCGAGCGCUGUAAUCUGAGAUGCCAGUACUGCAUGCCUGCCCAAGGAGUUCAGCUCACGCCAAACUCAGAGCUCCUGUCGCAUGAUGAGAUAAUCCGAGUUGCCGGCCUGUUCGUUACUUCUGGUGUGGAUAAGAUCCGGUUGACCGGCGGAGAACCAACCAUUAGAAAGGAUAUCGAGGAUAUCUGUUUGCAUCUUUCCGGCUUGAAGGGGCUGAAAACUCUUGCGAUGACCACGAAUGGGCUCGUUCUUUCUAAGAAGCUCCCAAGGUUGAAAGAAUGUGGGCUCAAUGCUCUAAAUAUUAGCUUGGACACGUUGGUCCCUGCAAAGUUUGAGUUCAUGACAAGACGUAAAGGGCACUCGAGAGUCAUGGAAUCGAUAGAUGCUUCUAUACAACUUGGAUUCCAAUCUGUCAAGGUCAACUGCGUUGUCAUGCGUGGAAUGAAUGAUGACGAGAUCUGUGAUUUUGUUGAAAUGACGAGAGACAAGCCUGUCAAUGUCAGAUUUAUAGAGUUUAUGCCGUUUGAUGGUAAUGUUUGGAAUGUCAAGAAGUUGGUUCCUUAUGCAGAGAUGAUGGAUAAAGUGCGCCAACGUUUUAAAGGUGUAGAGAGACUUCAAGAUCAUCCGUCAGAGACCGCAAAGAAUUUCAAGAUUGAUGGUCAUGCUGGAACAAUUUCGUUUAUUACAUCGAUGACAGAGCAUUUUUGUGCUGGUUGCAAUAGAUUACGACUAUUGGCUGAUGGCAACUUGAAAGUGUGCUUAUUUGGCCCCUCAGAGGUGAGCCUGAGAGAGCCUAUUCGAGCUGGUGUUGAUGAUGCUGGACUCAGAGAAAUAAUAAGCGCUGCGGUAUGUGUAGAAAUUCACUUGGUUGACAUCUUCUGUAUGAAAGACAGUAAUCUAGACCAUUUAUUCUUAUUGUCGAAUAACAAUCUUGCACCAACUAUUUCAAUCCACUCCUGUUCCUUUCAUAGAACACGAUACCAAAAGGUUUUUAACUGUUUUUCUCUCUCUCAUCUGAGCAGUUUAAGAACAUAUGAAUUCAAUUAAUUUGUUUGAGAAGAAAAUGAUUUUUAUGUUAAAAGACUGCUUCUCUUGACAAAAAUUUAAAAUCAGCAUCGCAAAUAAGUACCAAAAGAGAAGUAGAGUCUCCUGGCUUCUGGGAUUUCCAUUGAGGAAGGAAGGGCAUGCAUUUUUGGUUUGGACCACAUUGGGUAGAAGAUAAGCAGAGGCGAACUAUCCUGUUCCUGGUAUAAACUGCACAUUAUAUCCAAGGUUACCUGGGAUGUUGGGAUACUUUUAACGUUUACCAGCACCCUUUUGCCUCCAUUGGAACAGGUGGAUCUUGCUCUGCCUACACCUGAGGCAAUUGUUCCUUUGGACAGCUAGUAGGUUUCUAUUGAUAUUAGUUACUCUACUUGUCCAUGUUCAUAGCUAGAAAUAGCUACAUUUUGGGACGAGCAUAGCAUAUCAUUAGUUAUAUUAUCAUGUUUAGUCGCCAACUUACUUUACCCAGGUUAAAAGGAAGAAAGCUAAACAUGCUGGGAUGUUUGAUAUUGCUAAGACGGCAAAUAGACCUAUGAUUCACAUUGGUGGCUGAGAUCAGUUUUACCAGCUGAAAGUACCUUGGCUCCUCCAUACGAUGACUGCGAUGAACUAUCAACAUGAUAAAACAAAACAAAGAUUACAUGAUCUUACCUUGAUAUGAUGGUAAACUGAGGAACUCAAAACUUCAAACGGCAAUACAUACAGUUUGUACAAGAUAUAAAAAUGUUACUAUACUUGUGAAAUAGUAGCAGUUACAAAACCUCAUGCAGUUGAAAGUUAAAGCAUCUGUACUUUUCGCUACUUGUACGAGAAAGUUGUAACUGUUGUAUGAUGUAUGCUCCUCAUAAAUCAAUGCUAAUGUGUAACUAAUUAUUCUUUUACGGCAUCUUAUCGGUUAAUGAAACGAAAUUUAUUGUCUUUUCUUUC